GCCGAAUCAACAACAAAGUUGAUUAAAAUACCCAUUUGUUUAAUCAAAUCAGGAACAAGACAAAUGGAGUGUAGCGUGCAGUGAUCCAUCAGGAUGAUUGAUUCUUGUAGAUGGAUUGAUCCCGUUCUUGAAACUUCUUCAUCUUCGGUCCAUCACACGUUGAUGGAGAGGAAGGUGCCUUCCGUUGGGAUCGUCGCAGUCUGUGGGAAUGGCGAGGCUACGCCCGUGCGUCUGCCAGCGAGGGGGCCUCGUCAUGUAGCGGCCGAUGGUCGUCUCCUUCGUCGUUCUGUGUCGCCUAAUCGCUUUGGUAGACAAAAGUGCUGAUAACGUGUUAGAGUAAAACGAGAUUGAAUGAAAGUGAAUGGACAAUUAGUCCUCUUUCUAUUGAUUCUCAAGUAUAUAUACAUCUGGAAAAGGUGUGAAGAAAAGGUGUCUGUUCGGAGACAUCCCUCCAGAACAGGUGCCUGUUGUCAAUAGACACAAAGAAGAGACACGACUGUUCGGUUUGAACAUAUCCCUUAAAUUAAUCUAUUAAUUAAUUUCUAACGGUAGCUAGCAAAAGCUAGACCGUACGUACACGCGGAGACAAACUAAUCAGGAGCGAGGAAGCAAGAAAGAAGAUGGCUCGGGCCGACAUGACAGCCAGCCUGCUCAAUCGCCGGCCGGCCGGCAGGGUCGCUGGACCGGUUGGUGGCGCAAACCGGUCGGUCUAACCGGCCGACCCGAUCAAAAGGCGGCAAUCAGCCAGCCUAGCUGCACUGCUUCUUAAUCUGGUGGAGCCACCGGAGAUUAAUGCCGUUGUUAAGAUUGCUUGGAAUCGGAGAACUGGGCAAACACGCACGUGUUCACAUGUGGCUGCACGUGUUUCGGGCUGUUUCGUGAGGCGAAGGAAGCGACUAGACUGUGGUGUUUUGACUUUCGAGUAUAGAACGAGAGGCAAAACGUGGAGAUAUAAUCGAUUACAAGUAUAUUCCUUUCUCUGUUUUUAAAUAUAAGUCUUUAUAAAGAUUUUAUUAGAAGACUACAUAUAAAGCAAAAUGAUUAAAUUUUUAUUUAAAAUAUGUUUAUAUACAAUCUUUAUGUUGUUUCUUAGUGAACCCAUUAAAAAGACUUUUAUUCAUAAUUUUGAGGGAUGCAUUCAACAAAUGUCAUAGUCCGAAGAAACACAAGUGAACAGCCGUGUUUUUAGUGCACCAUGGUUAUAAAAAUGGUUUCAGAGGAGUAGAGGAGUAGGUAGGAUGGAAACACUCGAAUGUCCCAUAAAAAUGAUGCAUUUUUAUGGGACAUUCGAGUGUUUCCAUCCUACCUACUCCUCUCGAUUUACUAAUGCAAAACUUGAAAAUAAUAAUCAAACAUACCUGCUCCUCCGAAUCCCCAUCUACUAGCUUGUCAUCCCCAUCUGUUGUUACUGAUAGAGAUGUUGGUCGGGAGCUACAGCUGCCUGCUGCCCUCGGUGCCGCCGAUUCUGUGGUAAAACCGGUUGAUGUCGGUGCAGCCUGCACGGCCGACUUUGAGGGGAGGCAGACAGCAACCAACGUGCAGGGGAGGCGAGCAGCAACCAACGUACAGGGAAGCGGGGGCGCGCAAUAGCAGGCGUCCGCGCGAGGCGGUGUGUACUUGGCGACCUGGGAGUCCGGCAGCAACCGUGUCCAGGGGUACGAAGGCGCGUAGUAGCCGGCAUCCACGCGUGGAUUCUUCCACGGGCGAGACGAGGAAGCUGUGGUGUGAGCGAGCGGAGGAGGAACCGGAAGCGAGCAGGAGCUCCGCGAGCUUGGGUGAGGAUGACACCGUGGUGUGUGAUUUGGGGAAAGUGAGAGUCACUCACGAAGGAGAAAAGGAAUAGGCACAGUUAGUAGUGG
rnacentral:lncRNA from 1 species